rnacentral:lncRNA from 1 species
GUCGUCUGCAUGUUUACGCUGACGUGAGUGACGUUUGCGCCGCGAAGGUUCAGCAUUUCAAAAUAGCACGUAGGUCGUGGAAUCUCAGAGGCGAAUCAUGCUCAGUUUGUGUACCACGCAUUUCCCAAAGACAAAGAAGGAUACCAACUGUGGUAUAGGGCACUUGGGAAUGACAGACCUAAUUCAAAGCCCAGGGACAGCAUAAAGAAAAGCUCUAGAGUUUGUAGCAAUCGUCUUUCUGCAUCUAAUUACACUGCAAGAAAAGGAACUACAAGGUUGCUCAAAAGUGCAUGGCCGGGUAUGAAUCAAUGUUCAUUGAAUACAUCUCCACAAUACGGAUCAGGUGUUAAUCUUGAAAUGCAUACUGGUACACUAUUUGCAAGUAAUAAUAGUGAGUUAAAUACCUGCAUUGAAAAAGCUUUUAGUAAGUAUAUUAAAUAAAGAAUGAAUAAGUAGUGCAUAGUAGUGAUUGUAAUUUACUAAGAUGCAUUAUGUUAAAUUAUUUUUACUCAAAUCUUAUCUUAUCUUUCAUAGUUAGUAGCAGAAUAAGUGAGGCAUUUCUGACUUCACAUCCCCCACUCAGAGAAGACUUCAUAUGCGUGCAUGCAUGCAUAUACCCAACAGCUUUUAACAAGGAGAUGGCCAAAGUCUUUGUGCCAUAGCAAGGGAUCAGACUCACUCUCUUAUUUAUUAUUAUUUUUAUCAUUUUUUUAUUUUUCUAUUGUCAUGAUUAAUAUUGAGACAACAAUCAGAGGCAGGCACAAUAUUAGAAAUACAUUACUUUAAGUUGAUUAUCAGUGAACAGACGCAAAACUAUCAUAAUAAUUUAGUAUAACACUACAGACAGAUCACAAAUUAUAUUUUUAAGUGUGUAUACAUUAUUUGAGUAUGAAUUCCACAGGUUCAGCAUUGUCUAAAGGAGACUGUGAAUUUGUAGCUCUAGAAAGGUUAGCAUAUAGUAAAGAUGCAGUUUCCCAAACAGCAACUCAAGAGCUUGAUACAAUUGGUGAGUCAAUUGCCAAAUUCAGCUGUUAGUUUGAUUUUCAAAAUUAACAUUUUUGAAUUGCAUUAUAAAUAAUUACAAAAAAAUGCUUUACAAUACACAUGUGUUUAGAUCUAGAUUGAUAAAUAUGUAUUCUUUUCAUCUUUUUUACAUACCAAUAUUUUGUUUGAAAGUGAAAUAAUAUAAUUUCUAUUCAUGGUAGAGUAAAUAACUGAAGUGCAUUCUUAUAAGUAGAGAAAUCUCAGUAGGAUAAAUUUAAUUGAUAAUUUUACAAUGCAGUAUUAUUUGAUGGACUGAUAACAUUAGGGCAAUAUUCAUAUGUGUACCAUUUAAUAUGAUUUUGAUAACUUUACACAUGUAAGUUCCUUUAAUCAAGGAAAAUGAAAAAAAAAGUAAAAGCAUCAACUUUGAUUAAUUGAUACAGAAUAAGGAUCCACAGGUUAUUGAAAAACAUCAAACAUAUGAAAGAAAAUACUCUAAAUUGCAAGAAAGGCACAGUGCCUGCACAAAUUGUUAGAAACAUUUCCAAAUACUUAAGUGGCUAUGCCAUGGAGUUCGUCAAAGCUGAAUUAUGUUAGCUCAUACAAUUCAGAUGGAAUGCAGGUAUGGUAAUGCAGAGCAUGCAAUUGCACUAGCAUUAUAUUUCAAAAGUGCCAGGCUAAUUUUUUGGCUAAAGCUUUCAUAUUACCAAUUCCAUCUUUUACGACAUUAGCUUCAAAGAAUAUAAUUCAAAGCUGGCUGUAAUGAGUCUCUUUUUAAAAUUAUUAAACAAAAGGCAACAAGCAUGAGCAAAAUGGAUAAAGUUUCGGGUGUUGUGUUUGAUGCAAUGUCACUGAAAAAAAAGGCAUAUAACAUGAUAUGAUGUUGGAGGGUUUUGGAGAAUGUUGAAAAUCAAACAACGCUGCUCGGCAUUUCAGAUUCAAUACAUAUUAUUCUUAAUGAGAAUAUGGUUCAUUUUUUUAUGACACACCCCAUUUAUUAAAAAGCACCGGGAAUACUCUGUUGAAAUACAAUAUAGAGAUAAAUGGAAAUACUGUAUGCUGGGGUCACAUACGGCAAUUCUAUAAAAAAGAUUGCAAUACACCUUUGCCUUGCUCCUAAGUUAACUGGUAAGCACAUCCAUCAAAGUUUUGAUAAAAUGUGAGUAUGUCUUGCUACUGAGGUAUUUUGUAGCAGUGUGCCAUUAGUUAUGAGUGCACAUACUUUGCUUCAUAUAACCCGUAUGAAAAUUACACACUUAUGAGUCAUAGUUCAGAAAUCAAUACUGAUAGUCUCAUUAACUUUUUUCAUCAUAUAGUCCAUGAGGAUAUGGUUAAUAGUUAAAACAAAUAAAUCUGCUCGACAUGAGAGGUCAUAGAGCAUUAUAGUAAAGUAUUGUUGCAAAAAGGGUAAAUAUGAGUUAACAAUUGGGUAAGUGGACAGAAGAUGCGGAUGAAGAAGAGAGAGAAAAGGAAAGGGGGAGAAGAAAAGAUAAUGCAGAAUUAGACAAGGCGAGGGCUGAGGUCCAAGGCAGGGGUGAUCUCUACGUUGGGCCUCAGUCUCUGUCUCUUAAGCCCCUCCCACGACGUCAACAAUGAGCAAUCGAUGGAGGGGGGGAGGGUGAAGAGCAUAUGGAUGAUCUAGAUGAUAAUGAUAAUAGCAGCCACUCAUCAUUUCAUCAAAAAUAGAGGAAAAUUCUUCAACAUGUAUUGCUAGAUCCGUCUCUCAAAUGAUCAUUAACAAUCAUUACCUACACAAAAAAGAUUGUGAGAGUACCUCAUAUUUACAUCAUGCAAUCAUGCAAAAUGUGAGAAUGUAUUUCAAAAGUAUGUUAAUGAUUAUAUUGAUCAAGAAAAUGUUCAGAUAAAUUUAAUACCAAAUAUAAAGGAACAUUUUAUUUAGACAUUUAGUCAUGAAAUUAAAGAAAAAAAAAAUUGUGCAGCAAAAUGGGAUUUCAUUUUUUUUGGAUUUUUUCCAAUAGAAAUGUUAAUAAAAAAGACAAAGACCACAGAGUUAUUUUGUCGGAAAGAACAGGAAGUUGAUAAAAGUUUCCCACAAUUAGAAAUAUUAACUGAUAUCAUUAUAUUUUUUGCAUUUUUAGUGCAUGGCCAAAGUAAAUUUAAUUUAAGGUAUAUACAUAAUAGCAUUUAAAUAAAUAUUAUGCUAUCUACCUUAUUUCCUUAUCAUAUUAUUUUAAAUAUAUAAAUAUAUAUAUAUAUUUUUUUUUUUUGUAUAAUUGAACUUUUUUUUUAUUUAUUAUUGAUAGCCUCGUGUUAUGUCUUGUUUAGGAUGAUUUGACUAUUAACUUUAUUUCAUAACAUAAUGUUUGGAUUGCAUUUUUAAGUUCCCUUUUUUUUUCCAAAUUAAUGAUUUGCGUGCAUGAAUAUCUUAUUGCCGAUUUUUUCUUUCAUAAUGAGAGUGGGCAUUACUAAAUAAAGCACUUGCAUCUUCUGAUAUUUAUUUACUUGCUUUGUUAUAUUUUUCAAAGAUUUUUUUUUCUUUUAAUUUCAGGCUUUUAACUUUGCAUGAGCUUGUUAAUAAUUUGCAUGCUAUUUGUUAUGUAAUAACUUUAACAGAAAACUUGUUUUUGAACCACCUUUAUAUACGAAAUAAACU